CCUUGUUUGCUUAUUAGUUCAUUUGCCUCACCUGUCCCCUGUUAACCCGUUUGAUUUCUCUCCCUAUUUUAGUCUCCUCGUGUUUGCUGUCCAGUGCCAGUUCGUCUUGUUUCCAGUCCUGUGUGUUCCAGUCAGUCUGUCGGUUGGUCUAGUUUCCUGUCCUGUUCGGUCGGUCCUGUUCCCCGCUGUCAUCUGCCCCAGCCCUGGAUUACCUUUUUCCCCUACGGAGUUGUUUAUGUUUGAUUUUUUUCCCCCUUGUGGGAGUUUUGGUUUGUUUUUGCCCUUUUGUGUUAUUAAUAAAUCUUUGGUUUUUUAAACUCUGCGCUUGGGUCCUGAGCCUCAUUCUCUGAUCCUGGCAUACCAAGUAUCCUGAUGAAAAGAACAGAAUAAAUUUCCAUGCAGAUCCAGCCUGGUUUUAUGCUGGUCUGGGGUUGACUAAGCUUUUGAACCAGAAAAGCCAUAAUGUUCACAACCAAAAAUUUGGUCAACCAGCAUGGCAUUACAGUUGGACAACUCUCGGAAAGAAGAUUAAAUGUUUUCAUUGAUGGUAGGACUAGAUCUGUUUUAUGCAUGCUGCUGCUGCUGCUUGACAUGAGACAAUAUGCUGCUGCUGUUGGCAUGGAAACAUGAUGCUGCUGAGACAGUAGAGACUUGCUGCUGCUACUGUACAAACAUCAAGAUAAAUCCCCCAUAAAGCAGAUCAAGCCAGGUGGAGGGAGACGCUACAUGUAACGGCAUUGCUAUAUUGCGUGAGAUCCAGAUGUAUGGCUGGAAUAAAGGAGUUCAGGAAGAACAUGAAGAUGACCACCCCCAGGACAGACAAACACUUUACCAGGAGGACUUUGUCAGUUAUUCUGUGCUGUAAAAUAUGAAAAACACAUUUAGAAAGAGAGUGGAGAAAAGACAGACAGAAAGGAACCUUUCUAUUUAAGCAAAAUCACACAAGUGUCUGACUAUUAUUAGAUUCCAUGAACUCAACCAUGCUCUGGGCUUCAAACACGAGCAAACCAGGAGCGACCUCGACCAGUAUGUCAAGAUCAACUGGGAGUACAUCACUCCUG